rnacentral:rRNA from 1 species
UACGUAGGUGGCAAGCGUUGUCCGGAUUUACUGGGCGUAAAGAGCGCGCAGGCGGUCGUGCAAGUCGCGUCGUGAAAGCCCCCGGCUCAACUGGGGAGGGUCACGCGGAUACUGCUCGACUCGAAGGCAGGAGAGGGAAGUGGAAUUCCCGGUGUAGUGGUGUAAAUGCGUAGAUAUCGGGAGGAACACCAGUGGCGAAGGCGACUUCC